rnacentral:rRNA from 1 species
GACGAACGCUGGCGGCGUGCUUAACACAUGCAAGUCGAACGGAAAGGCCUCUUUCGGGGGGUACUCGCGUGGCGAACGGGUGAGUAACACGUGCGUAACCUGCCCUUGACUUUGGGAUAACUUCAGGAAACUGGGGCUAAUACCGGCUAGGAGCUCCUGCUGCAUGGUGGGGGUUGGAAAGUUUCGGCGGUUGGGGAUGGACUCGCGGCUUAUCCGCUUGUUGGUGGGGUAGUGGCUUACCAAGGCUUUGACGGGUAGCCGGCCUGAGAGGGUGAUCGGCCACAUUGGGACUGAGAUACGGCCCAGACUCCUACGGGAGGCAGCAGUGGGGAAGAUUGCACAAUGGGUGGAAGCCUGAUGCAGCAACGCCGUGUGCGGUAUGACGGCCUUCGGGUUGUAAACCGCUUUCGCUCAUGACGAAGCUUUGUGUGACGGUAGUGGGUAAAGAAGCACCGGCUAACUACGUG